AGUGAACGCUGGCGAUAGGCCUAACACAUGCAAGUCGAACGGCAGCACAGUAAGAGCUUGCUCUUACGGGUGGCGAGUGGCGGACGGGUGAGGAAUACAUCGGAAUCUACUUUUUCGUGGGGGAUAACGUAGAGAAACUUACGCUAAUACCGCAUACGACCUACGGGUGAAAGCAGGGGAUCUUCGGACCUUGCGCGAUUGAAUGAGCCGAUGUCGGAUUAGCUAGUUGGCGGGGUAAAGGCCCACCAAGGCGACGAUCCGUAGCUGGUCUGAGAGGAUGAUCAGCCACACUGGAACUGAGACACGGUCCAGACUCCUACGGGAGGCAGCAGUGGGGAAUAUUGGACAAUGGGCGCAAGCCUGAUCCAGCCAUACCGCGUGGGUGAAGAAGGCCUUCGGGUUGUAAAGCCCUUUUGUUGGGAAAGAAAAGCAGCAGGUUAAUACCCCGCUGUUCUGACGGUACCCAAAGAAUAAGCACCGGCUAACUUCGUG
rnacentral:rRNA from 1 species